GCCAGUCAGAGAACCUGCUGUGCUUGGUUGCUGUGACUGAGGUCUGUUCUGCUGCAUCCUGUCCGUAGCAGCCUCCUCUUCCUCCUCCACUGCUGAUACCACUGCUCCAUCCACCUUUCUGCCUUCUUUUGGGCUCUUCUUUAAGGAAGGGCUCUUGUGCUGUCCAGUGUCUUCUGUUGAAGCUUUCAAUUCCUUUCCUUGCUGGCAGCUCUGCACUGCUGCAGCAUCACUGUCAUCUCCAUAGGCAAAGCUGGAGCUUUGUUUUGGCACCUCUGCAUGCUGUUCUGAAGGCUGUGCUGUCAGAC
rnacentral:lncRNA from 1 species